UUAAACUUUGAUUCUGGUUUGUGCCUGAUCCUUUCAAUUUCUAUGUCUAUUUUUUUUUUUCAGGCUUCAUGCUACCCAAGCCUGGCUGAGAGAAAUCAUUUACAAUUUUCAUUGCAUAAACAGAUGCCAGAGUUGCCAACUGAAAAGUACACAUGUGUCCAAGGAGAUGUGUUUUCUGUUCCACAAACUCUGUUUUUUUUUCUUACUUGUGCUCAAUCUCUGGGAUGGUCAGAAGGAUUAAGUCUUAUGUCUGAUUUGAAGAUCAGCUAUUAGAGAAACAAAUAAUUAAAAGCACCUAAGCAGUUAAAGAAGCUAUAAUUGAAGAAGAUUAAGUGAUUGCCCAAGGUCACAAGAUAGUAACUACAACUGGUCAGGAUGAGGAAAGGAAGAUUCAAGGAGUCACAAUGAGUCCAGCAGAAAAGACUGAUGAUACACAAGAAAAACUUAAUACUUUAUGAAAGGAAGAAUACAUGUAUAUAUGUAUAUGUAUGUAUAUGUAUACACAUACAUGCAAGAAUAAAUCUGUGUUUAUAUUAAAUAUCAGAUAUAUAAUUUAUAGAGCUUUAAGAUUUUUAAUCACUUUAGAAAUAUUAUCUCAUUUUACCUUCUUAAUAUCUUUGGGAAAUAGGUGCCAUUAUUGUCUCCAUUUUAUAGAUGAGGAGCCUGAGGUAGG